rnacentral:rRNA from 1 species
AAUGAACGCUGGCGGCGCGCCUAAUACAUGCAAGUCGAGCGAGAAGACGUAGCAAUACGUUUGUAAAGCGGCGAACGGGUGAGGAAUACAUGGGUAACCUACCCUCGAGUGGGGAAGUAACUAGCCGAAAGGUUAGCUAAUACCGCGUACGCUUCUUGGACUUCGGUUCAGGGAGGAAAGCGAUGCCGAGGGUAUCGCGCUCUUGGAUGGGCUCAUGUCCUAUCAGCUUGUUGGGAGGUAACGGCUCACCAAGGCUUCGACGGGUAGCUGGUCUGAGAGGACGAUCAGCCACACUGGCACUGCGACACGGGCCAGACUCCUACGGGAGGCAGCAGUAAGGAAUAUUGCGCAAUGGGCGAAAGCCUGACGCAGCGACGCCGCGGUGGGGGAGUGAAGGUCG